rnacentral:rRNA from 1 species
GACGAACGCUGGCGGCGUGCUUAACACAUGCAAGUCGAACGGAAAGGCCCUGCUUUUGUGGGGUGCUCGAGUGGCGAACGGGUAAGUAACACGUGAGUAACCUGCCCUUGACUUUGGGAUAACUUCAGGAAACUGGGGCUAAUACCGGAUAGGAGCUCCUGCUGCAUGGUGGGGGUUGGAAAGUUUCGGCGGUUGGGGAUGGACUCGCGGCUUAUCAGCUUGUUGGUGGGGUAGUGGCUUACCAAGGCUUUGACGGGUAGCCGGCCUGAGAGGGUGACCGGCCACAUUGGGACUGAGAUACGGCCCAGACUCCCACGGGAGGCAGCAGUGGGGAAUAUUGCACAAUGGGCGGAAGCCUGAUGCAGCAACGCCGCGUGCGGGAUGACGGCCUUCGGGUUGUAAACCGCUUUCGCCUGUGACGAAGCGUGAGUGACGGUAAUGGGUAAAGAAGCACCGGCUAACUACGUG